rnacentral:rRNA from 1 species
GACUUGCUCAUGGAGCCGAAAUCAGUCGAAGAUACCAGCUGGCUGCAACUGUUUAUUAAAAACACAGCACUGUGCAAACACGAAAGUGGACGUAUACGGUGUGACGCCUGCCCGGUGCCGGAAGGUUAAUUGAUGGGGUUAUCCGUAAGGAGAAGCUCUUGAUCGAAGCCCCGGUAAACGGCGGCCGUAACUAUAACGGUCCUAAGGUAGCGAAAUUCCUUGUCGGGUAAGUUCCGACCUGCACGAAUGGCGUAAUGAUGGCCAGGCUGUCUCCACCCGAGACUCAGUGAAAUUGAACUCGCUGUGAAGAUGCAGUGUACCCGCGGCAAGACGGAAAGACCCCGUGAACCUUUACUAUAGCUUGACACUGAACAUUGAGCCUUGAUGUGUAGGAUAGGUGGGAGGCUUUGAAGUGUGGACGCCAGUCUGCAUGGAGCCAACCUUGAAAUACCACCCUUUAAUGUUUGAUGUUCUAACGUAGACCCGUGAUCCGGGUUGCGGACAGUGUCUGGUGGGUAGUUUGACUGGGGCGGUCUCCUCCCAAAGAGUAACGGAGGAGCACGAAGGUUAGCUAAUCCUGGUCGGACAUCAGGAGGUUAGUGCAAUGGCAUAAGCUAGCUUGACUGCGAGCGUGACGGCGCGAGCAGGUGCGAAAGCAGGUCAUAGUGAUCCGGUGGUUCUGAAUGGAAGGGCCAUCGCUCAACGGAUAAAAGGUACUCCGGGGAUAACAGGCUGAUACCGCCCAAGAGUUCAUAUCGACGGCGGUGUUUGGCACCUCGAUGUCGGCUCAUCACAUCCUGGGGCUGAAGUAGGUCCCAAGGGUAUGGCUGUUCGCCAUUUAAAGUGGUACGCGAGCUGGGUUUAGAACGUCGUGAGACAGUUCGGUCCCUAUCUGCCGUGGGCGCUGGAGAAUUGAGGGGGGCUGCUCCUAGUACGAGAGGACCGGAGUGGACGCAUCACUGGUGUUCGGGUUGUCAUGCCAAUGGCAUUGCCCGGUAGCUAAAUGCGGAAAAGAUAAGUGCUGAAAGCAUCUAAGCACGAAACUUGCCCCGAGAUGAGUUCUCCCUGACUCCUUGAGAGUCCUGAAGGAACGUUGAAGACGACGACGUUGAUAGGUCGGGUGUGUAAGCGUAGCGAUACGUUGAGCUAACCGAUACUAAUGAACCGUGAGGCUUAACCUU